GAUUAAGUUAUUAAGGGCGCACGGUGGAUGCCUUGGCACUAGAAGCCGAUGAAGGACGUUACUAACGACGAUAUGCUUUGGGGAGCUGUAAGUAAGCUUUGAUCCAGAGAUUUCCGAAUGGGGAAACCCAGCAUGAGUUAUGUCAUGUUAUCGAUAUGUGAAUACAUAGCAUAUCAGAAGGCACACCCGGAGAACUGAAACAUCUUAGUACCCGGAGGAAGAGAAAGAAAAUUCGAUUCCCUUAGUAGCGGCGAGCGAAACGGGAAGAGCCCAAACCAACAAGCUUGCUUGUUGGGGUUGUAGGACACUCUAUACGGAGUUACAAAGGACGACAUUAGACGAAUCAUCUGGAAAGAUGAAUCAAAGAAGGUAAUAAUCCUGUAGUCGAAAAUGUUGUCUCUCUUGAGUGGAUCCUGAGUACGACGGAGCACGUGAAAUUCCGUCGGAAUCUGGGAGGACCAUCUCCUAAGGCUAAAUACUCUCUAGUGACCGAUAGUGAACCAGUACCGUGAGGGAAAGGUGAAAAGCACCCCGGAAGGGGAGUGAAAUAGAACCUGAAACC
rnacentral:rRNA from 1 species